rnacentral:lncRNA from 1 species
AUCAAAUUCAGCCUAACAGGAAAGGAAUUCCCAUGUGAAUUGACUUUUUAAAAUGACUACAAAUUAAUACUCUUAAGCUCUGAUUCAUUUAUUAUAUUAUGUGGUGUAAUAAGAUGCCCUUGGGUCAUUUUAGCAAAUAAAGUUUUUUCUUUUCACUUAACACUACUCCAAUUGGAUAGCACCAUCUUAUAGUUGAAAUGGCUAAGCUUCAUAGAGUAAUAACUGAUCAUCUCUCUCUCUCUGAGAUAUUUUGCAAUAAAUACAGAUUUAGCUGUGCAAUAGUAUGCCUUCAGAAGCCAUUCCCAAUACCUUUAGCACAGUCUUUAAAAAUAUUCUUGGGGCUAGCAAUUUUCUCUAUUAUGUCUUGCUGUUUCCUGCUCACCACCUCCAUUGCUAUGUCUAAACUUUGUUGCUGCUUUAGCUGUCCAUUUUAUGCUUUUUAUUCAUAUUUUUCUGUCAUCUCUUUGCAAUUAAAUUUUGUGCUCCUAUGAAAUUUUUGUAAUCAUAACCAACCAAUUUUAUUAUUCCUUUUUAUUUCUGGUUAAUGCAUUGACAAAUUAUAGUACAUAAUAUGUGUGUAAUAAUCAGGUGUUUUGCUAUAUUUUUGUCGGGUUCACCGUAAAAUUUUUUUUCCAACUUUUUUUGCUUUUUUAUUUUUAUCUCUGGGAUUGUAACAGUUCAGAAUUUUCCAGAAACUUGAAGCAUUCAUGUAUUUUAUUACUAGUAUACUCAAUUUUAAUGGAAAGAAGUUGGUCAAACAGUUUUAGUUAAAGAUCUUAAAGAUGAGCAGAAUUCCAAGAGGUGAUUUUAAUUUACAUAAGCACAGUUCCUAGAAAUUAGCUGCAGAGAAAUUAGUUGUCUCAACCCUUCCCAGAGUCUGGAAUUUUCUAAAGUAAAACUUUACAACUAAAUGUGUGACAUUUUCUGGACAAAGCAUAAGCACUGACAUGAGACUAAACAUGGAUUUCUACCUUAUUUUUCUCCUUAGUAGCUAUCAGAUCUUUACGAGCCUUUUCUCACAAGAUGGAGAUAC